rnacentral:rRNA from 1 species
CAGCCAAGUCGUGAGGCGGAGCUAAUCCCUUAAAGCCAUUCUCAGUUCGGAUUGUAGGCUGAAACUCGCCUACAUGAAGCUGGAGUUACUAGUAAUCGCAGAUCAGAAUGCUGCGGUGAAUGCGUUCCCGGGUCUUGUACACACCGCCCGUCACACCACGGAAGUGGGGGCGCCCGAAGCCACUUAGCUAACCCUUUUGGGAAGCGAGUGUCGAAGGUGAAAUCAAUAACUGGGGUGAAGUCGUAACAAGGUAUC